rnacentral:tRNA from 1 species
GCACCAGUGGCAUAGUGGUUAAGCUUUUGUCUGCUAACCAAAAAGUUGUCAGUUUGAAUCUACCAGCUGCU